GACGAACGCUGGCGGCAUGCCUAACACAUGCAAGUCGAACGAGAUCUUCGGGCCUAGUGGCGCACGGGUGCGUAACGCGUGGGAAUCUGCCCUUUGGUUCGGAAUAACAGUUGGAAACGACUGCUAAUACCGGAUGAUGACGGAAGUCCAAAGAUUUAUCGCCAGAGGAUGAGCCCGCGUAGGAUUAGCUAGUUGGUGUGGUAAAGGCGCACCAAGGCGACGAUCCUUAGCUGGUCUGAGAGGAUGAUCAGCCACACUGGGACUGAGACACGGCCCAGACUCCUACGGGAGGCAGCAGUGGGGAAUAUUGGACAAUGGGCGAAAGCCUGAUCCAGCAAUGCCGCGUGAGUGAUGAAGGCCUUAGGGUUGUAAAGCUCUUUUACCCGGGAUGAUAAUGACAGUACCGGGAGAAUAAGCUCCGGCUAACUCCGUGCCAGCCGCCGCGGUAAUAC
rnacentral:rRNA from 1 species